ensembl:lncRNA
UCAACUUUGACGUUUUCGGCUGUCACAUAGAGACAGAUUAACAUCUUCAUUGCAUAUUUAGCGGAGAUUGUCGACAGACGUACGCGAUAUCAGACCCAGUCUCGGGGAUGGCUAACUCUAGAGAUCCCUUCAAUCUCCACUGAAUGUCCAGGCACGCUUUCCCUCUCGGAGGGUCGAUUCUAUUUGCCAACCUGUUUCAUCAAGGGUGACUCUCUGCAGACGCGGUCUCAGCCUCUUGAUCUUCUACAUCAUCUACAUGAUAGGAAUGAUCCUGGUGUUUGGUGUGGCCCCUUUGGUGGUUAGUCUGUUCAGUGUGUUCAGUCUAAUCAAGCAGCUGAGGAAGUUCUGGAGGCAGUUCCUAAAGUUCAUCAAUAGGAGGAAGAGGAGAAAGGGCAUGUGGUUGCCUCUACCAAACGACCAGCUCCCAAGUACAGCCAAGGUGCACAGACGUCGAGGUCAGAGGUGCCCUAGCAUCUACAGUGGCCCCAUCUCUGUGCUGCACCUGAACCAGACAGAGGACCAAGACACUAAGGAAGAGGCUAGACCAGGACACACAGCUGGAACAAAGACACAUUCACAGACCAAGACACAGCAAGCGACUGGACAGGAAGGGUCUGACAAGGAUGUGAACCAGAAUGGACAUGGAGAUGUCUCUACCUCGAGGAACCCAAAAGCCAGUCUGAAAAGAGACACCAUUCCACAGACAACCAGCCAUCCAAGCAGAAGCAAGAACAGAUGCAGCCGCAGGAACCAAUGAAGUGCAAACAACCACCGCCUGUGCUUCCAUCAAAGGGAUAUUUAUUGCUAUCUUUUUAUUUAAAAGAAACUCAUGCAGUUUACUGCAAACAAACUCUUUCUCUUUGUGAUCCUUUUUAUAUGAACAUAUUUAAAAAAUUAUUCAGAAAUAUCACAUGUAUUGUUAUCAAAUUAAGUAAAUAAAAAUCACAAAAAUAAUACAUUGUUAAAGAUGCUGUCAAAACAGAAUACAUUUUCAAACAUCUUGACACUACACAUUUACAACAAGUUCUCUCCCUGGACAUGUACAUCACGCUCAUACUGCAUGUCAUCC